rnacentral:rRNA from 1 species
UACGGGGGGAGCGAACGUUGUUCGGAUUCACUGGGCGUAAAGGGGACGUAGGCGGCCAGGUAAGUGGGGCGUGAAAUGUCUCGGCUCAACCGAGGACCUGCGCUUCAAACUGCUUGGCUUGAGUCCGGGAGGGGAGACGGGAAUUCCUGGUGUAGCGGUGAAAUGCGCAGAUAUCAGGAGGAACACCGGUGGCGAAGGCGCGUCUCUGGACCGGUACUGACGCUAAGGUCCGAAAGCGUGGGGAGCAAACAGG